rnacentral:rRNA from 1 species
GAUACGUCUUCAGAGUUUGAUCCUGGCUCAGGAUGAACGCUAGCUACAGGCUUAACACAUGCAAGUCGAGGGGCAGCAUGAAUAUUGGCUUGCCAAUAUUUGAUGGCGACCGGCGCACGGGUGAGUAACACGUAUCCAACCUUCCGGUAACUCCGGUAUAGCCUUUCGAAAGAAAGAUUAAUCCCGGAUAGUAUGGUGAUUCCGCAUGGUUUCUCCAUUAAAGGAUUCCGGUUACCGAUGGGGAUGCGUUCCAUUAGGCAGUUGGCGGGGUAACGGCCCACCAAACCUACGAUGGAUAGGGGUUCUGAGAGGAAGGUCCCCCACAUUGGAACUGAGACACGGUCCAA